rnacentral:rRNA from 1 species
GAAACCAACAGGGAUUGCCUCAGUAGCGGCGAGUGAAGCGGCAAAAGCUCAAAUUUGAAAUCUGGCGUCUUUGGCGUCCGAGUUGUAAUUUGAAGAAGGUAUCUUUGGGCCCGGCUCUUGUCUAUGUUCCUUGGAACAGGACGUCACAGAGGGUGAGAAUCCCGUGCGAUGAGAUGACCCGGGUCUGUGUAAAGUUCCUUCGACGAGUCGAGUUGUUUGGGAAUGCAGCUCUAAGUGGGUGGUAAAUUCCAUCUAAAGCUAAAUAUUGGCGAGAGACCGAUAGCGAACAAGUACAGUGAUGGAAAGAUGAAAAGAACUUUGAAAAGAGAGUGAAAAAGUACGUGAAAUUGUUGAAAGGGAAGGGCUUGAGAUCAGACUUGGUAUUUUGCAUGCUGCUCUCUCGGGGGCGGCCGCUGCGGUUUACCGGGCCAGCAUCGGUUUGGAGCGGCAGGAUAAUGGCGGAGGAAUGUGGCACGGCUUCUGCUGUGUGUUAUAGCCUCUGA